rnacentral:rRNA from 1 species
AACGAACGCUGGCGGCAGGCAUAACACAUGCAAGUCGAACGGGUGUAGCAAUACAUCAGUGGCAGACGGGUGAGUAACACGUGGGAACCUUCCUAGAGGUACGGAACAACUCAGGGAAACUUGAGCUAAUACCGUAUAAGCUCUUGCGAGGAAAGAUUUAUCGCCUUUAGACGGGCCCGCGUAGGAUUAGGUAGUUGGUGGGGUAAUGGCCUACCAAGCCUACGAUCCUUAGCUGAUCUGAGAGGAUGAUCAGCCACACUGGGACUGAGACACGGCCCAGACUCCUACGGGAGGCAGCAGUGGGGAAUCUUGGACAAUGGGCGCAAGCCUGAUCCAGCUAUGCCGCGUGAGUGAAGAAGGCCUUCGGGUUGUAAAGCUCUUUUACCAGGGACGAUAAUGACGGUACCUGGAGAAUAAGCCCCGGCAAACUUCGUGCCAGCAGCCGCCGUAA